CAACACAGGAGUAUUUUUCCCUUGCUUAAAACUGAAUUGUUAUGCAGGGUUUGGAUGUUUCAUGAGAGGAAGGGUUUGGUCAAUUGCCGACUGGCGGGAACUCGUUCUCGUCGUCCAGGCAGACGGGGCUCGCGGCGAACUCGUGCUCCGGGAUGACGUCCCCUGUCUGGGCUCCACCGUCCUCAGAGUAACCUGGGACGAGAAGGAAGAGGAGGGGAAGAUCGUAUUUCCUACAAUUUUACUUUUUUGUUGAAGGAGCCCCACUAAGACACACACACACACAAACACACACACACACACCUGUGUUGUUGGACCAGAACACACUCUCCUCCAUCCUGUGGAUCCACAUUAUAGAUGUAGAGACACCCGUCUGAGGAUGCAACCAGCAGGCGGGGGAGCUUCUGAAUCCUGACAAACAAAACCAGCACAAGAUGAACGCUGAAGACUCUGAUAACGGUGCCCUGUGGAGGAGAGCAUGGUCAGAAAAGAGGAUGUGGGUAAUAAAACAUAAAGAGCGAUGGAGAAAUAAUGGUCACCUUUUCUGAAGCGCUGGCCAGUUUGGUGCCGGAGGAAUUAAAGGUGAGGGCCGCCAGGGGACUGUCGUGGGCUUGGAUCAGCGUCAAAGUGCUCUAUAGGGGCAAAUGAGGUUUAUUUGAUUUGAUUUAU